rnacentral:rRNA from 1 species
CUGCCCUUAAGUGGGGGAUAACAUUUGGAAACAGAUGCUAAUACCGCAUAAAUCCAAGAACCGCAUGGUUCUUGGCUGAAAGAUGGCGUAAGCUAUCGCUUUUGGAUGGACCCGCGGCGUAUUAGCUAGUUGGUGAGGUAACGGCUCACCAAGGCAAUGAUACGUAGCCGAACUGAGAGGUUGAUCGGCCACAUUGGGACUGAGACACGGCCCAAACUCCUACGGGAGGCAGCAGUAGGGAAUCUUCCACAAUGGACGCAAGUCUGAUGGAGCAACGCCGCGUGAGUGAAGAAGGCUUUCGGGUCGUAAAACUCUGUUGUUGGAGAAGAAUGGUCGGCAGAGUAACUGUUGUCGGCGUGACGGUAUCCAACCAGAAAGCCACGGCUAACUACGUGCCAGCAGCCGCGGUAAUACGUAGGUGGCAAGCGUUAUCCGGAUUUAUUGGGCGUAAAGCGAGCGCAGGCGGUUUUUUAAGUCUGAUGUGAAAGCCCUCGGCUUAACCGAGGAAGUGCAUCGGAAACUGGGAAACUUGAGUGCAGAAGAGGACAGUGGAACUCCAUGUGUAGCGGUGAAAUGCGUAGAUAUAUGGAAGAACACCAGUGGCGAAGGCGGCUGUCUGGUCUGUAACUGACGCUGAGGCUCGAAAGCAUGGGUAGCGAACAGGAUUAGAUACCCUGGUAGUCCAUGCCGUAAACGAUGAAUGCUAGGUGUUGGAGGGUUUCCGCCCUUCAGUGCCGCAGCUAACGCAUUAAGCAUUCCGCCUGGGGAGUACGACCGCAAGGUUGAAACUCAAAGGAAUUGACGGGGGCCCGCACAAGCGGUGGAGCAUGUGGUUUAAUUCGAAGCAACGCGAAGAACCUUACCAGGUCUUGACAUCUUUUGAUCACCUGAGAGAUCAGGUUUCCCCUUCGGGGGCAAAAUGACAGGUGGUGCAUGGUUGUCGUCAGCUCGUGUCGUGAGAUGUUGGGUUAAGUCCCGCAACGAGCGCAACCCUUAUGACUAGUUGCCAGCAUUUAGUUGGGCACUCUAGUAAGACUGCCGGUGACAAACCGGAGGAAGGUGGGGAUGACGUCAAAUCAUCAUGCCCCUUAUGACCUGGGCUACACACGUGCUACAAUGGAUGGUACAACGAGUUGCGAGACCGCGAGGUCAAGCUAAUCUCUUAAAGCCAUUCUCAGUUCGGACUGUAGGCUGCAACUCGCCUACACGAAGUCGGAAUCGCUAGUAAUCGCGGAUCAGCACGCCGCGGUGAAUACGUUCCCGGGCCUUGUACACACCGCCCGUCACACCAUGAGAGUUUGUAACACCCGA